rnacentral:lncRNA from 1 species
GACAGCAACCAGACAACAACACAAGGCCAAAAGAAAAUUAAAAAGGAAAAGACAUCUUAUGAUAUGCAUUUGACUGGGGAAGGGGGGGGGGGGGGGUACAGGGGUCCUGAUCCCGAAAUCCCGGACUUAAAAACAUGAAAUCCCGAGGUCCCGAAUUUAUAGAAAUUUCAAUCCCGCCAUACCGAAAUUCGAAAAAAAGAAUAGCCGGAUCCAUAAAGGAUCAAUCCCGAAAUCCCGUGCUUAAAAACACCCGAUCCCGGAGUCCCGUUUAAGGUCCCCCUCAUUUGUGUAGAUGGACUAAAUAACAAAACACAAUAUUACCAGUCAUGUCUCAGCUUGUGUGCGAUUGUUUUUUUCUUUUUUUUUUUCGGUUGGGGAAGGGGGGGGUAUUUUUGUAGGCAUAUUAAACAUAAAUAUGUGCAUCUGUUUUUAUGUCAUAUCUCAACCUCCGUAUAUUUGGUUUCCUCGGAAAUGUUUUUACACGAUGUAUUUUCUGGAAAAUACACUGUACUACAAAGACCGUGCAAUGUCUUGAGAGAAAGCGAAAUUCAGAGAGAGAAGCACAUUAAUUUAUUGUCACAUAUA